GAACAAGGUGGCAAGGUAAGGUACAGGGGCCUUAACCCAUAACAUAUCAGGUUUCUUUAUAUAUAUAAAAAAAAUGCUGCCAGACUAUUUUUCAGAAGUUUUCAGUGAAAGUUAUAUAUAAAAAGCUUUAAAGACAUGUUUGCCACUUUGAAGUCUGUGUCUCUGAAGUACACAUAGAGGCUUAAUGAGGACACUUCCAUGCUGCUUGGUACAAAUAUUGAUUGACUGUACACACUUGCAUUAGCUUCCAGCAUCAUGAGCAAUCCACAGUCCUAGACAAGUGGUUUUUUUGCUAUCAGUUGCGAUUUCAUAAAAUACUUUUCCAUUUUAGGGUUUUAAGGUGUCCUUGUUCCUCAGAUGUGUUUUGCCUGAUGUUGAAAGGAAAAUGUGGUCAACAACUAUAUAGAACUAUGCUUAUUAUUAUUAUUACUUAUUCAAUUUAUAUACUGAAUAAGGUUUAUGUGAUUGGUUGUUGAAUCGUUCUUACUGCACAAUGGGAAUAAUGAGGGAGAGAGCAAUGAUAAGUCACAUAUUGUAAUACUCAUGGAACACAAUUGACCAAGGUGAUCCUUUACACUUGGGGCUGCUCUGCACAGUAACAAGAGGUUUAGACAUACAGUAGUUUUAGCUCCAUGUAAGUAUCCCCAAAGAGGAUACCCUAGACUUUAAGUGAGAUAAUGUAUAAACUUAUGACGAACAAUAUUCACUAUGAGCUAUCUGUAAUUUUUUGACAGAGUUAUUCAUCGAUGAAAUUCAUGGGUAACUUUUAAUAUUAGAUGUAUGUGACUGUUUCACAGCUGUGCUUGAUAAAUUGUGAAGACAACGUGGUGAAUUUAUCAACUAAAUGAAUCAUUGAAUUCAUUCAUUUAUCUCCUUUGCAGAGAUCCUUAGUGAGAAAAUGGAGGGGGUGGAAUUGUGAAGCAGCCCUCUCAUAAAAAUAAUAAAAAUAAGAUUUUCUUGCUCACAUGGUACUCUGAUAAGUUGCUUUGUUUGAUUACAAAGAAUGGCCUAAAAUGAGUUUUAUGCAGAUUUUUUUAACAAUAGAACACAUUGUGUUAUGUGCAAUUUUACUGGAAAACAUUUUGAGAUAUAGCAUUUACUAAAUCAACUGACUGUGGAAGGAAGUAUCAAGAUUAAGAGCAUAUAUGUGUUCUAGGGUUCAUGUUUUAAAAAUAGCAUAUAUUGAUAAAGGUGUUCCAAAAUAUAAAAUAUAAGAUUAUUCUUUUACAUACUUAAUAGCAUUAAUUAUUUUUCUGGCAACAGAAAACACAGCAGUUUAUGCUUCAGAUCCGGCAUGUGGAGCUUGGUUGUUGUUGUUUUUGUUGCCACUUAUUAGUUUAUUUUACUAAAACUAACCCAAAGUGACUUCCAAAGUAGUACAAAUAUUAAAAAACAAUGUAAAACAAAAACAGUUAAAAAACUUAAAAGCACAUUCGCCACUAAAAAAGACCAUUCUCAUGUUGCCACUCCCUCCUCCCUUAGAAGGAGCAAAUUAAGAAUUGUCUCAGGUGAUGAAUGCAUGGUCUGGGUUGGUUCAUGUAAGGAAAAGCAAUCCUUGAGAUAUUGGGAUCCUGAGGCACAUCAGGCUUUAUAAAUAAAAGCCAGCGCUUUGAUUUGAGUCUGAAAACUGACUAGUAGCCAGUGCAAUCAGACCAGAAUUGGUUUUAUAUACACAGACCAUCUGGUCCUGGUCAGCAAUCUGGCCGCUGAAUUAUUCAUGUUAUUGUGUGCCAGGGAAAUGCCCUCUGAAGAUAUAGUGGUGUUAAUGGAUCUAUCAAUAUGUGAAUAAUUUUCUUCUUGUAGCAUAUGACUUCACACCUGUAGGAACUAUGACCAGCCUAAGGUUAUAACAAAUGGUGGUGCAGUAAAUUGUGCAUGAAUUGUUUCAGAGAAAGCGGGGUGUCAGUUCAUAUAUUAUGUAGAUAACUCCGACAACAAAACAUUGAUACUUCAUUGCACACAGUGCUACAGGGCCUGAUUUUACAAGGAUUUUUAAAAUUGUCAUUGUUGUUUAAAGAAACGUUUCCUAUUCAGCCUUCUUACUGAGGUAUCCGGUGAAGAGUUCACCACAGAUAAAGUCGCACAGCAUCAAAAUGCACUUUUUUUGCAAAAUUUAGCAAAAUUUGUGUGCUGUCUGGCCCUGAGCCAUAAUAGCUGCCUCCAUUUUGUGGCUCCAUUUACACAUUUACAGGUUGUGAAAUGGGGAGGGGAGGUUCACUGAUUAUGGAGGUAGGCAACAACCUUUCUACUGUGGUGCACUGCUGUCAUUUUUUCCCCAGAAUGCCCUGCUGAGCAAAGCUAUAUCGUCAUGUCAGGUAAAAAGGUAAAGGUAAAGGACCCCUGGAUGGUUAAGUCCAGUCAAAGGCGACUAUAGGGUGCAGUGCUCAUCUCGCUUCAGGCCAAGGGAGCCAGCAUUUGUCCGCAGACAGCUUUUCAGGUCAUGUGGCCAGCAUGACUAAAUCGCUUCUAGGGCAACGGAACACUGUGACAGAAGCAAGAGUGUACAGAAACACCGUUUACCUUCCCACUGUCGUGGUACCUAUUUAUCUACUUGCACUGGUAUGCUUUUGAACUGCUAGGUUGGCAGAAGCUGGGACAGAGCAAUGGGAACUCACCCCAUUGUGCGGAUUCAAACUGUCAACUUUCUGAUUGGCAAGCCCAAGAGGCUCAGUGUUUAGACCACAGCACCACCCGCAUCCCCCAUCAUCAUGUAGCAUCAUUGCAGAGAGUAUUCUAGGAAGAGAAGUGGUUGCAUUAGCAGUCAGUAGGAGCACUGCUUCAAUCAUUGCCACCAUCAUACAACAUGGGAAAUGCAAUGCAGUGAAUAGUUCCACCCUCCUUUCACCUCUGACCCAGCACCAAAAUUUGGCCAUUUGUUUUUCUCCAGCACUGAUUUCUUCAUGCAAAUAGUCACAUGCACUUAUUUAUGUAUGUGUUUUAUCUCAGGUUUCUGUGAUUAUUAUAAUAAAUUACAUUUUCUAUUGAGUGUCUAGAUUUCUUUCAUUGACCUGGUAUAAUGCCUGAGCAUUGCAGGAACUAUGAAGAAAUCAGUUUAGGAUUUUAAGGCGUGAGAAGGCAGAGUAGAACAGAGAAAUGUCUCUUCCAUUUAUUUCAUCUCUCCAUCUCAGCCAUGUCACCAUAACCUGACUUUCCUGAAGAUCCCUGGUCCAGCCUCACUUCAGCUACUCUAUGAAACAAAAACCAAACGAGAUGGAAAAUGCUACUUAUUUAUAUUUUCUUCAAUCUGGGUAUAAACAGGGCUUUCAUCCACCACCUCCUCCAAAAAAUGUGCAUCUACAGUGUAGUAGAGCCUCUUCAUUUGAAAGUAGAUACAAUGCAUUCCACAGAAGCAGAGAAUGGGCACGUAUUCCCAAUGACAACUAACCAUGGAAAUCGCCAUGCAUUGAAUUCCUUCAAAUUGACUAGAUGGACAUGACUGCCUCUGAUCCACAUCUGCAAAAGUCAGUUCAUUUUUUGGUGCAGGAAAGUGUUUUAUCAGAAUCCAUUUUAUGUAAUUGAUUGAAAACUCUGCAUUCCUAAUCUGAACAGGCAUAACCUUGGAGGAAAAGAGAAGGCAAUGUUGGACCCUUGGCCUUUCAUACCUAUAUUUUUGUUUAAAGAAAAAACUGUCUGAGAAGUAAAAGAAAUGUUUAUGGUCUUAGUACAGGACUAUUAAGUUGGCAGCUUGUUGCAUCCAAAAUGUCAAAUUUAAAAGCUGAACACUGAGCAAAUAAAUUCACCAUUCAAUAGGUCUCCAGUGAGGACCUUAACACACACAAUCAUUUCUCUGAAAACUAUAUAGGGGUCUCUUUUACUGCCUGGUUUUAAGUGCUCACUUUUAAAGUAGAAAUUAGCUGUUAGUAUCCUGGGACAUAUUUAUUUUUGAUAUCAUAUUAAACAAAAUGCAAAUAUAGAAGGCUCUUGCAAAUGAUGUUUUUUCAUGACACCAAGUUAUCUCUGAAUAUUUUUGUUGAGCUUUAUUUCCGCUGUUGGAUGUGUAAUCUUUGCUAAAUGUUUUGAAGGGAAGGAAUCAAAUAAAUUGCCCUAUUUUGGUCUUUCUCAUCUGUAUACAGUUGUGCAGCUCUAGUAGACCUGAAAAUUGCCCAGAGACAAACUUUUUUAAAAAUAGAGUGCUUUUGAGGCAGAAAAUUGCUUUUCUGCAGUAUCUUCUAACAGAUAGGAUGUGACAAGAGGACAAGUAGUUACCACCAUAGAGUUGUAAAGUCUUUAAAAACAAAGCAGAUCAAGGAGUUUUAUUUUCCAUCUCAGUUGACUACAAAAGGUUUGCAAUACUAAAAAUCUGCCUUAACAUUAACAGAAGCUACACAGUUUAGAAAUAAGCCUUGCAAGCCUGCCUAACCCACCUGUGGCAGCUAGAUGCUAUAAGGGACAUUCAGCAUGAUGCAUAAGAUCACAGAGUGUUUGUCAGCAUCUUCAGAAGUUCCAAGCACAGUAGGAAGUGUUGUGGCAGGGUGGCGGCAGUGAAAGAUUUCUUCAUUCUCGUCUCCUUAGUUUUAUGUUCGUCAUGUCCUUCAGUUGUUUGAAAUCUCUUGUGGAGUAAUAAAUAAAAGUGACUUAUCCUUUUUGAUCAGCCUCUUGAUGCUAUAUGGAAGUAUUUGUGUGUGUGCUUAACUUCUUGUUAAGGCAAUUUGCAAAUGCAAAAUAAAACAGGGAGGUAGAUGGAAUAAGGCUGAAGGAAGGGGGAGAGGCUGUACCAUCUACAUGCUAAGAGACAUAAAGAAACUUUGAACCUAUUAUCAUGUUAAUGGGCCAGUUGAGGAUUGUCAGGGUUUGAGGUAUUAAUCUUAAUACACAUUCACAUUCUUUAAUUGCUCCUUUGGUGCUGUAAUGGCAUAGGCUGUGAAUCUGUGCAAUAUUAACAGUAUUAUGUGCUUCUAUAGUUUGAAGCCAUAAUACCACAUGGGUAUUACAAACUAUAUAAAAAGUGUCAUAUGCUUCUGUUUUCAAAGAUUUAAUGUUAUUAUUAUUGUUUUAAAUGGAAAAUGAUCAAGUCUCUACAAUUAAAAUGGGGAUUGUCCAGACCAUGCCAUCUGGGAAAUCAAUGUUCUACCUUUAUCUGCUUGCAAAUGGAGGAGGUGGAGAUAAUAAGUCUCUCAGGAUUCACAAAGAAACCUGGUGGAAAGUGUUCAGCUUGGGAAUUUCACCAUGUAGUUUUCUCUGUUCUUGCUGCUUUCGGCUUCAUUCUUGUCUUUAUUAGAACUUGGCUGUCUGGCCUUUUGCAUCUUCAUAGCGUCCGUCAGGAAUUUUCAGCAUGGGCAAGUACUGGUCUUUUUCUAUCACAGUGUCAGGUGAUGACAAAAGUUUGGCCAAGCUUUUGAUACUGUAUGUGUAAAGCCACUGAUGCACUAGGGCUCUUGGGACAUAUCUAUGAACUCUCUUCAAAUGUACAGUGAAACCUCUAACCCAGCAAUGUAAUCCGUACUAUUUGCCAGGAGUCUGCACAACUGACAUCCCCUAAUGUUAAACAGGCAUUCAGUGACAGCAGGAUUCAGGAAGAAAUCUUCUCAGUCCCUCAACAAAAUAAGUAUAUACAGAAAACCUAGGUGACCUUGCAAACCAUUCCAGGUAUAGGACUUUGUGGGGGAAGUCGUCACGGCGUAUCUUAUAAAAAAGGAAAUUAGAAUGUUUUAAUAGUUAGCCACCCACCAAAUUUUGGGAAGAGAAGGAUAAUUUUCCUGAUAAUCAACCAAUCAACUGUACAGUAUUGAGCCUAAUCCUUGGUAAAGGUGGUGAGAUCUGAUGCAAUUUUUUUCAAGUAAAAUUGUGGUGCCAUUUGUUUGUGGAAUCAUCCUGUGGCAACGCAAAUAUUAAAGAAGCUUACUAUUCUUAAAAUGCUUGUGACAAUGUCGGCUUAGUUUUAAGAAUGUUUGAUUAAAUAACAAUUUUAAGUUCCCUACAGGUUGUAAGAGUCAGAAUGAGAUGUUAUUGUU